CCUACGGGAGGCAGCAGUGGGGAAUAUUGGGCAAUGGGCGCAAGCCUGACCCAGCAACGCCGCGUGAAGGAAGAAGGCCCUCGGGUUGUAAACUUCUUUUGUCAGGGACGAAGAAUGUGACGGUACCUGACGAUUAAGCCACGGCUACUUACGUGCCAGCAGUCGCGGUAAUACGUAGGUGGCAAGCGUUAUCCGGAUUUACUGGGUGUAAAGGGAGUGUAGGCGGGACUGCAAGUCAGAUGUGAAAUUCCGGGGCUCAACCCUGGAACUGCAUUUGAAACUGUAGUUCUUGAGUGAUGGGGAGGUAGGCGGAAUUCGGUGUGUAGCGGUGAAAUGCGUAGAUAUACGGAGGAACACCAGUGGCGAAGGCAGCCUGCUGGACAGUAACUGACGCUGAGGCGCGAAAGCGUGGGGAGCAAACAGGAUUAGAUACCCGGGUAGUC
rnacentral:rRNA from 1 species